rnacentral:rRNA from 1 species
CAAUAGCGUAUAUUUAAGUUGUUGCAGUUAAAAAGCUCGUAGUUGGAUUUCGGAUGGGACUUGCCGGUCCGUCGUUUCGAUGUGCACUGGCCAGUCCUAUCUUGUUGUCGGGGACUAGCUCCUGGGCUUCACUGUCCGGGACUAGGAGCUAACGAGGUUACUUUGAGUAAAUUAGAGUGUUCAAAGCAAGCCUACGCUCUGAAUACAUUAGCAUGGAAUAACACGAUAGGACUCUGGCUUAUCUUGUUGGUCUGUGAGACCAGAGUAAUGAUUAAGAGGGACAGUCGGGGGCAUUCGUAUUUCAUUGUCAGAGGUGAAAUUCUUGGAUUUAUGAAAGACGAACUUCUGCGAAAGCAUUUGUCAAGGAUGUUUUCAUUAA